rnacentral:rRNA from 1 species
GUGGGGAAUAUUGGACAAUGGGGGAAACCCUGAUCCAGCAACGCCGCGUGGGGGAUGAAGGUCUUCGGAUUGUAAACCCCUGUUGGGAGGGGCGAAGGCUUCCGGGCGAACAGUCCGGAAGCUUGACGGUACCUCCAGAGAAAGCCCCGGCUAACUCUGUGCCAGCAGCCGCGGUAAUACAGAGGGGGCAAGCGUUAUUCGGAAUCAUUGGGCGUAAAGGGCGCGUAGGCGGCCGAGCAAGUCUUGGGUGAAAUCCCUCGGCUUAACCGAGGAACUGCCUUGGAAACUGCUUGGCUUGAGGCCGGGAGAGGGUGGUGGAAUUCCCAGUGUAGCGGUGAAAUGCGUAGAUACUGGGAGGAACACCAGUGGCGAAGGCGGCCACCUGGACCGGUCCUGACGCUGAGGCGCGAAAGCGUGGGGAGCAAACAGGAUUAGAUACCCCAGUAGUCC